AAAUUGUUCACCCUUUUUUCAACUUACUUAUUUUUCCUCCUUACUUCCCAGGUGAGCAUUGCAUGUAGAGAAAUUCUGGCAUGGAACUGUUAAAAUAUUAACCCAAAUUCAAAACCAGCUGAUCCUAGUGCCUUUAAUGAUUGCAUAGGUUGUGAUAUAUGGUUCAACAUGCCACUCCCAUAUCUCUAUGCAGACCCAAAAUGAAGAUAUACAGACAGUGCCUCGCGUAUGGAAUAACAGAGGCCCAUGUGACCAGAACAGAGUGAAAGAUAGAGAAGAGGUUAUUAAAUAACUGGGAGUAAGAGGGUUGUUUCCAGAUGGAUUUCCUUCUUGCAAGCUAUGCUAUGAGCUCUACUCCUAGAAGGUAAAGGGCUAGGGAUAUUGAUCCAUCACCAAAAGCCUAGGAGGAAAGAAUGGUUUCUACAGGAUUAACCAAGAAAACAUUUGUCUCCUGAACCUGAAUCCCAUUUGGAAAAUCUCACAAGUCAGAUAUGGCUGAUUUGAUGGCAGGAGAGAGAAUGAAAAGACUUAGGCCCAGGAUAAAUAAUUGCGGAUCCACACAAACCUGGGACCCUUAAAAGACUACGUACAGCCAGUGAAAAGGAAGUCUGAAAAUAAAUCUUCUUAUUGCGCUAAGGAGAUAACGAGGAAAUAAGUCUGUGGUGAUCUUCAACAUGG